rnacentral:snRNA from 1 species
GUGCUCACUUUGGAAGCAUGUAUACUAAAAUUAUACGAUGAUGAGAUUAGCAUGGUCGCCGCACAACAAUGACAUGUACAUUUGUGAAGCACUUCAUAUUUUU